GGGGUAGCUCAAGGGUAGAGCAUGGCAUUGUCGUUGUAGGUCGCAGGUUCGACUCCUGCUCCUGAGCA
rnacentral:tRNA from 1 species